rnacentral:rRNA from 1 species
UACGUAGGUGGCAAGCGUUGCCCGGAUUUACUGGGCGUAAAGAGCGCGCAGGCGGUCGUUCAAGUCGCGUGUGAAAGCCCCCGGCUCAACUGGGGAGGGUCACGCGAUACUGAUCGACUCGAAGGCAGGAGAGGGUAGUGGAAUUCCCGGUGUAGUGGUGAAAUUCGUAGAUAUCAGGAGGAACACCGGUGGCGAAGGCGGCUUUCUGGACGACAACUGACGCUGAGACGCGAAAGCGUGGGGAGCAAACAGG